rnacentral:misc_RNA from 1 species
UGUUAAGAGGCGCGGUGUCGGUGUGCUUGUAUGUGAGGAAGAGAAUUCUCUGGAUGUAGAGAGCGGCCAGGAAAUCCGAUGUUCACCCGGGCAUGGGAACGGGUCUCGGCCCGGACUCCGGUGCGGUGCAGGGUAGGCAGGCUUAUAUAGAUAGUCUAGGGUAGGUACAGGGUAGGCACAGGGUAGGUAGAAGUCUGGUAUACAGUACGGGCGGGUGUAGGGUAGGCUCAGACACCGAUCCGUUUCGCGCCCUUACCUUUGCGCGAGAAACGACGAUCUUGGCUGGGAUGGAGG